CCCCGGGCGCUCCCCGCCCGCGCGCCCCCGGCCCGCGACCCCGCCCGCCGGCACGCGCGAAGCAGGGGGUACCGCGUUGCGGGGACCCAGCCGCAUUUUGUUUCGCGCCCCGUAGGCCGCGCUCCCAAAGCGGGCGACAAGCGCGAGUCCCAUCCCGGCCCGCCCCCGCUGCCCUGGCACCCAGGCGAAUGCCUGAGCGCGCUCGGCGGCUGCGCUCCGAGGCCCCGGCUGCCAUGAUUGCGGGCAGCGGGGCACGCGCGCGCGCACUCCCGAGCCGAGCUUGGGGACCCCGGGCCGACAGACUGCCCCUGGCCUGACCGCCGCCCCGUGAGCGCCGCGGACAGCAGCCGAAGUCGCCAGGCUCGUCCUUGCUGGGGCUAGUGUGCGCCAUGGAGCUCUAGACCAGGCUCCGGCACAGAGCUCGGGGUCGUCGGUGGCCGCGGGUUUCCCCCGGGGCAGGGCGCGUGCCAUGGCGACCCUGUGGCGGCUUCCCGGACACCGCGGGCCGGGCCGGGCCGGGCCGGGCCGAUCGAGGGGCCAGACACCCAGUGUGGUAGGGGACGGGGUGCACGGGAUCUGGUGAAGUGGAGGAGAGCAGCGUCCUGUACCCAGAGAUGGAGGGGAAACAACUUCCUGCUCCCCAGGCCCAGGGCGCAGGAGCUGCGGGGAGAAGUUACAGGCCGCAGCUUUGCUCUUUCGGAGCCAGCCGACUACACACGCUGCCCGGGGUCGCGGGGCUCCUUCCCGAGGGCCUUCUGGGGGUCGCGAUCGGCCAGGCUCCAGGGUCAGGACACCGGUUAGAACGCCGGGGAAGCCGCAGGAGUUUUCCCUGCCUGCGCUGCAGGGACGCCUGAGUGGUUUCCCCGCAGAGGGGGCCGGGCUAGGCUUCUGGUGCUAGGAGACAUCGACACCGGGUUCACUAUGCCUGGACCCUGUCCCCCUGCCAGGGCAUGCCCUAACUGAGAGCCAGAUGGGCCUGGCUGUCCUCGGACGCCCGCGACGGGUGCCGGAGAGAAACGAGGCCUCCUGGGCCCUAUCCCAAUGUCUGUCUGUGCCUGUCUCCCCCCACACCCCCAGCCGGCCUUGGCAUUCUAACCAGUGUCCCUUGACGUCAUAUCUCGCCACUUCUGUGAACCAAUUGAAACUUGCCCGUUGUCAUAAAAAUAUAUAUACUUUUUAUGCUAUUGGUAAAUUCAAAAGUUCCUCGUGUGCCCUGCUUCCCAGGAAACUCCAUUCCACAUUGGAUUGGACCGCCCAGGGAGGGGGGAGAGGCCACAGGGGGCCAGGCUGGGCUGGGGCAGCUGGAGCAGCUCUGCCCGGGACUCUGCUGCCCACCGACUGCCUUUGAGGCUCCCCAGACCCCCAUGACCUUGGCCUCAAAUUGUGCUGGACACCCACCCACCCCCACACAUCACUGCCCCCACUCGGUGACAUACCCGGACUGGGGGGAGGGCGGGAGAGAGGAAACAAGCUAUAUUAAGAAAUCUUCUAAAACUGCUUUCCUGGGUGUUAGAUAGAGUCUCACUGUAGCUUCUUUCUAGGGAUGGCCCUUUUUCCCCCCAAGAGAAAAUUCAGCUUUAGAAAAUGAAGUAGAAAUGUUUUCUGGUUAAUCUUUUCAUCGAAAUCCUGAUCAACUUUCACUUUCCACGGCUGCUGACGGCCAGCAGAGACAGGGUGAUUUCACAAUGGGCUGGCUUUCCUUCCUCUUGACGAAGUUCCAGGGGGGGUCCUCUUGGCUUCAGGGGCCAAGGGUCUGGAGCCCAGGUGUUCCAUGCCCCUUCCUCCGAAAAGGCCGCUGUCGGCAGCCUGGGACACGGCGCGCCGUGCUCCGGUCUUAGCAGCAUGGCCAGGACAAACAAUCUCUUGUCUGGCCCAGUCCUGUAGAGUUUUCCGCACUAUCACAGUCGCCCCGCUCGAUGAGGAUGCAUGGAGCAAGAACACAGGUUCCCGUGAGACAAGUAUGUUGGGGCAGUCCCAAAGCCACAUGCCCUCUGUCGCCCCUCCCGCUCCGGCCACACCAAGGAAGAGCCCGACCACUAACUGCCAUUAGAAAUCCCCCCUCUCCCCUAUCUUUAUACCGUAGGGUUCAACUACAUUAAAGAACAGAUUAAAGGCAUUUUGUGGUUUAGCAACUUCGGGGUCUGCAAAGCAACAAAGUGCUUUAAAGGCUGGGCUGAGUGCAGAGAUGCGAACAUCAGAACAUCGUAGGUGCCGGCCCUCUCAGUACCAAUUUUGUUUUUCCAAAAUAAUGAGCAAGCUGGGUUAGGACCAAGUGGGUAUUUUGCAAAUAAAUAUAUGGUUGCUAUUUUCACCUAAAACUGCUCCCAAAGGCAGAGCCUAGAAACGCACAGCUUUGAGAUGUGUGCACAUACACACACACACGCAGGCAUGCACACCGCGUCCGACAACCACACUGUAAUCUAUUUAUAAUCACUCCCCCAAACCCAAGAAAUAUUAUAACUAAUAUGUAUAUGUUUUGUGAUUAAACGGGUGGAUUAAAACAUUGAAUUUAAAAAGCCACAGAAAAAAGGAGAGAAAUUAUCUUCCAUUAUGCCACUUACAACUUUUGUUCCAUUGGUACGAAUACAAAUCUGACAACUGUAUCAUUACUGAAGGCACAGGCUAGAUACCACGAUAUUAGCAUUGUAAUUUUCACCUGGAAUCGUGGUAUAAUCACAAUGCUUCCUAACCUUCCUAUUAGCUGAUUUUUUUUUUUGCUCUUACACAGGCAUAAAUUAAUUUACUACCUUUUUUCCUUCCCAAUUUUUAUUUGGUAAAACAAGAAAUUGGGUGAGUCAGAGCAAUAUUUGAGAACACACUCUUUGUAAAAAAUCCCCUCUUACUUGGCGGGGAUUUAGAUAUAAUUUGGUUGCAAAUUCAAAAAUCAAAUUCUGCUUUGUGCAAGGACAAUAACAGCAUCCUGGGAAUGCCUUUGGGUGUUACUCAGAUUGGUUUUUUAAAAGUCUUUUCCUAACUUGCUAGUGUGUUCUAUUAUUCAAAGUAAAUAAUAUAAAAUAGUGCGUUCAGAUGAUCAAAAAGGAGACGCAGAAUAUCUGCCCGGUUGCCGAGCGUUCUGACGGACACAUUUCCCGGGGCAGGGAUCUGCCUGGGGCCGCGUGGAGCCCAAGGUCAGAGAGUUGAAAAAUCAGUCACACGAAGGCUCUCGGCUCUACCAGGAUGUUUAUAGUAUCAGCCUCAUAGUUAUUUUUUCCUGAUUUCUCCCAAGAUCUGCCUAAUGGGAGGGAAUGCAGCCGGCCACUUCCUGCUCUGCCGCCGGCCGGAGCGAGCGUCCUGCCUCAGAAGGCUGGGGCUCUGCAGCUUGGCUUCCCUUUUCCCAAUGUGGGGCCGUUUAGCAGUUUAAAAUAUUCCGUCUGCAGCGUUCGUGGGUUUGGUAAGCAGAUGCAUUUAAUCUAAUUCAAGCAGGAGGAUGAGCGUGAGUGAAACUUACAUUUUUCAGUUGGUUUGGACCACGUAACCUGCACACCCCCAGAAUAAUGCUGAGUUUAAAGCUGGCCCAAGAAACUCGAGACUGGGAGUUUGCAGCGGCCACUUCUUCCGUGACCCCAUGUGUUUUUCUGAGCAGCCUCCGGUCCUGUGUGCAAAGGCAGACCAGACUCAGGAAUUCCGCUCUUUCGCCUUUGUCUCGGAGUUGCUUCGCAGGCCCGCGGUUCCAUUCCGAUAGGCCGAUUUUGUAAUAACUUGUCCUACUUUAUGAAGGCUUCAUUUUUACUCUCCAUUAUUUACGCAUCAGCCUGUCAGCGCCGAUUUACCUUGGGUAAGCAUUUUUUUUCCCCCCUCGUGGAGAUAGUUGAGGAAGCGGCGAGGGAAGCUUGCUAGUUUAGAAGUAAAACAGCGAACAGAGGAAAGCCAUUUGCAGGGUCCCGGGCUGCGUGCGGAGACGUGAGCGCACACCCACGGAAAGGCUUCUUCCUUUCCCGGCAUAAUGAAGCAAUUUCCAAAAUCUUGUGUUUUAUACUCCACUGUUUCAUGUCCAUCGUGGCGUGACAACCAGCAACAGAAAGGAAGCUCUGGCCGUGGGAUGAGCGUGUCUGAGGCAUAAAGCACGGGGCAGGAGCCGGCACCAGCAGCCCCCACCCCACCCCCAAUAAAACCAAGCACACGGCAGACCACUUCUGGGCCUCCUUUCCUUUUUAAAAAAAUAUAUGAAAAACAGACCCCGGGCGCCUGCAGCUGACAGCGAUCGGCGGCACCUUCUCCGGGCUCCUGACGGGACCUCGGCCGCUGCACACACCCGCAACACCCCCCCAUCUGUUCAGAAGCCUUCGGACAGCGGCUGCUUCAUCAUAUUUCACACACCUGGGAAGUCCGCACAUUGACUUUCGGAGGUACAUGAAAAAGGUCUAACAACCCUCAAAGCAUUCCUAAGAAGUUAAUUAUUAUUUUUCAAAUAAAAGAACAUAAACCUAGGAGUCUCAAUAAAUGUGCAUUCUUCAUAUACACAUAUGAGUGUGUGAACACGUGUAUGUAUAGGAGGCAUACAUGUCGGUGUGAAAAAUUUCCCUCGCCGAGGAGGAAUCACCACUGAUAUUUGCAUUCCAAAGUAGCAGCAACACAAACCAGAAAUUGUGAGUGAAGGAUGAAGGGCCGAUACCCCAGGCACACAGGCUUCCAGAUCUCAGACGCCAGAGCGGGGUCUCCACCUCCGUAGCAGGCAGGGGAGAAAGCACCAAUUCAGGUACGUUUUGUAAAACUCAAUUACCUCUCAGAGCGAAGUGGGUGCUGAAUUUAUUUUAGUCUUUCAAUUCUGCAACUUCUAAAAUAGAGUCACAUAAAUUGGGAAAAUGAACAUUUUUCUGAAGAAUUUAUUGUACUUCUUACAGUAAACUUUUAUGAGCAAUUAAAGAUACAUUAGAUUGUGGAGUGUGACAGCUUCUGGUAGAAGAAGGUGCCGGUUUGCACCCGAGCGAAAGGGCAGCAGAACACUUGAGACGAGUUUCACUCCCCAAACGUCCCAGGAAUGUCUUCCCUCCACGGUCGCAAAGCCUCGGCGUAUUUGAAGUAUUUUUAGAUCGUAUUAAUCCUUUAUAGGGGCCUGGAAUAGUCAUUAUUUUAAUGAUCACAUCUGCUUUUUAAAUCACAUCCAAGGAGAAUUUAGCUAUUAAAAAUUUAAAGCAAUUUUAAAGUUUAAAAACUGUCAAAUGUUUAUUUUAGAAAUUUUUAAAUAAUGCUGAAAUGCUUGUGAAAGCCUGUUGAAAUUUUUUCUUCCCUGUACACAAAACGAGAAUUUUAGUAUCCUUUCUUAGCCGUACAACCCUUCAGGGAACGGGGUAAAUUAGAAAGCCUCUAGAAUAAGGGGGGGUGUGGAGGAAAGAAAAUAAACUCUGCUUUAGAACUCAAAUAGUUCAUUGUCAAAUUGCAAGAGACAGCAAGAACUUAAAAAAAAAAAAUCAAGGCUUCACAAAUCGCUUCUUUAAAAUGAUGGCAACAAAGCCGUGGCUGCCUGAGGAACAGACACAGGCAAAAUGGGGGGGGGGGGGCGUCAGUCACAAGUUGUUUGAAAUUUGACCAUACUGGUCUUCUUUAUUAAAAUACCCCCAUUUUAUUUUUUUUUUAAUCUACUGCGAUUCAGCACAGGUAAGCAAUCUGCUUUCUAUAGAACGACAGUUUCGUUUUCCUGACUCUGUUGAAACCCCAGAGCUUUGAGACCCUGUUAGCAGGAGGCGAAGUUCAGGUCAGAUUUUUCAUACAUGCCCUUUCUAGAAAAAGUAAAGAAAUGUCUUCACUAAAUUUAUGACUGCAAGACGAGAUAACAUUCAAUGGCUACAAAGAAAAAUGCUACAGAAAGAAAGAAAGAAAGAAAGAAAGAAAGAAAGAAAGAAAGAAAGAGAAAUAAAGAAAU